rnacentral:rRNA from 1 species
ACUCCUACGGGAGGCAGCAGUGGGGAAUAUUGCACAAUGGGGGAAACCCUGAUGCAGCCAUGCCGCGUGUGUGAAGAAGGCCUUCGGGUUGUAAAGCACUUUCAGUAGGGAGGAAGGUAGUGUAGUUAACACCUGCAUUAUUUGACGUUACCUACAGAAGAAGCACCGGCUAACUCCGUGCCAGCAGCCGCGGUAAUACGGAGGGUGCGAGCGUUAAUCGGAAUUACUGGGCGUAAAGCGCAUGCAGGCGGCCUGUUAAGUCAGAUGUGAAAGCCCGGGGCUUAACCUCGGAAUUGCAUUUGAAACUGGCAGGCUAGAGUCUUGUAGAGGGGGGUAGAAUUUCAGGUGUAGCGGUGAAAUGCGUAGAGAUCUGAAGGAUACCAGUGGCGAAGGCGGCCCCCUGGACAAAGACUGACGCUCAGAUGCG